GACAGAGGUGCCGAGCGUUAGGCGGAAUCACUGGGCUUAAAGCGUGUGUAGGCGGGUCGUUAAGUGCCUUGUGAAAUCCCCCGGCUCAACCGGGGAACGGCUGGGCAUACUGGCGACCUUGAGCCACCUAGGGGCGAGCGGAACAAGCGGUGGAGCGGUGAAAUGCGUAGAUAUCAUUUGGAACGCCAAUGGUGAAAACAGGUAGCUGGGGCUGUGCUGACGCUGAGACACGAAAGCCAGGGGAGCAAACGGG
rnacentral:rRNA from 1 species